rnacentral:rRNA from 1 species
GACGAACGCUGGCGGCGUGCUUAACACAUGCAAGUCGAACGGAAAGGCCCUGCUUUUGUGGGGUGCUCGAGUGGCGAACGGGUGAGUAACACGUGAGUAACCUGCCCUUGACUUUGGGAUAACUUCAGGAAACUGGGGCUAAUACCGGAUAGGAGCUCCUGCUGCAUGGUGGGGGUUGGAAAGUUUCGGCGGUUGGGGAUGGACUCGCGGCUUAUCAGCUUGUUGGUGGGGUAGUGGCUUACCAAGGCUUUGACGGGUAGCCGGCCUGAGAGGGUGACCGGCCACAUUGGGACUGAGAUACGGCCCAGACUCCUACGGGAGGCAGCAGUGGGGAAUAUUGCACAAUGGGCGGAAGCCUGAUGCAGCAACGCCGCGUGCGGGAUGACGGCCUUCGGGUUGUAAACCGCUUUCGCCUGUGACGAAGCGUGAGUGACGGUAAUGGGUAAAGAAGCACCGGCUAACUACGUGCCAGCAGCCGCGGUGAUACGUAGGGUGCGAGCGUUGUCCGGAUUUAUUGGGCGUAAAGGGCUCGUAGGUGGUUGAUCGCGUCGGAAGUGUAAUCUUGGGGCUUAACCCUGAGCGUGCUUUCGAUACGGGUUGACUUGAGGAAGGUAGGGGAGAAUGGAAUUCCUGGUGGAGCGGUGGAAUGCGCAGAUAUCAGGAGGAACACCAGUGGCGAAGGCGGUUCUCUGGGCCUUUCCUGACGCUGAGGAGCGAAAGCGUGGGGAGCGAACAGGCUUAGAUACCCUGGUAGUCCACGCUGUAAACGGUGGGUACUAGGUGUGGGGUCCAUUCCACGGGUUCCGUGCCGUAGCUAACGCUUUAAGUACCCCGCCUGGGGAGUACGGCCGCAAGGCUAAAACUCAAAGGAAUUGACGGGGCCCCGCACAAGCGGCGGAGCAUGCGGAUUAAUUCGAUGCAACGCGUAGAACCUUACCUGGGUUUGACAUGGAUCGGGAGUGCUCAGAGAUGGGUGUGCCUCUUUUGGGGUCGGUUCACAGGUGGUGCAUGGCUGUCGUCAGCUCGUGUCGUGAGAUGUUGGGUUAAGUCCCGCAACAAGCGCAACCCUUGUUCACUGUUGCCAGCACGUUAUGGUGGGGACUCAGUGGAGGUCGCCGGGGUCAACUCGGAGGAAGGUGGGGAUGACGUCAAGUCAUCAUGCCCCUUAUGUCCAGGGCUUCACGCAUGCUACAAUGGCUGGUACAGAGAGUGGCGAGCCUGUGAGGGUGAGCGAAUCUCGGAAAGCCGGUCUCAGUUCGGAUUGGGGUCUGCAACUCGACCUCAUGAAGUCGGAGUCGCUAGUAAUCGCAGAUCAGCAACGCUGCGGUGAAUACGUUCCCGGG